GGGGCUGACUGGUUUUGACAGCAUUUGAAUGGAUAAGUAAGCAUGCCGGGCAAGGUAACAAAACCCGUAAAACUAAGUUACAAUCUAUUUUAUUUGGCGAAAACAAUUACGCUCUCGCAGCCUAGUCGAAGUUUAGUAAACUGGCUUAAUCCCUGGUCAAGGUUACCGGGGACGGGACGGCUCGCAGGUGGAGAUGUUCGAUUCCGGCCUGAUAUCGAGUCGCAAGCAAUUUCGAACUGGUUCUGUUUUUGUCUGGAGAACAGGAUGAGAUAAACAGACUAAGGUAAUAUUUUGGGUGUUUGUCCCCGUAUAUUGCCCUACAACCAACGACAAACUAAGCAUGUAGAAAGCUUAUUGGUUCCGUGUUUGGACGAGGGUUCGAAUCCCUCCAGCUCCACA
rnacentral:tmRNA from 1 species